CCUACGGGUGGCAGCAGUGGGGAAUAUUGGACAAUGGGCGAAAGCCUGAUCCAGCCAUGCCGCGUGUGUGAAGAAGGCCUUCGGGUUGUAAAGCACUUUCAGUGGGGAAGAAAGCCUUGGGGCUAAUACCCUCGAGGAAGGACAUCACCCACAGAAGAAGCACCGGCUAACUCCGUGCCAGCAGCCGCGGUAAUACGGAGGGUGCGAGCGUUAAUCGGAAUUACUGGGCGUAAAGCGCGCGUAGGCGGUCUGAUAAGCCGGUUGUGAAAGCCCCGGGCUCAACCUGGGAACGGCAUCCGGAACUGUCAGGCUAGAGUGCAGGAGAGGAAGGUAGAAUUCCCGGUGUAGCGGUGAAAUGCGUAGAGAUCGGGAGGAAUACCAGUGGCGAAGGCGGCCUUCUGGACUGACACUGACGCUGAGGUGCGAAAGCGUGGGUAGCAAACAGGAGUAGAUACCCGUGUAGUC
rnacentral:rRNA from 1 species